UUGACUUGCCUUACGCUUCAUC
rnacentral:siRNA from 1 species